rnacentral:lncRNA from 1 species
GGGGGAAUUCCUUGGUUAUGCUAAUACCGCCUAGAGAUAGCGGUAGGACGAUCAAUUGUAUUUUGCUGCCGUUCGUUAUGCAUUAUUAGUUACUAGGGGAGGCUAGAGAUAGCAAGUCGGUCAUUAGUAAUAGGCUCUUUUUGCCAAGGAAUUGGGUUAAGGGUAGACCAAGAAAGUUUGCAUGGCAAUAUGAUAAAUAAGCGAAUUAAAUAAGAAGAGUAGAUAUAUGAGGGUGGAUAAGAUGAAAUUGUAAGCCCCAACAACACCAUUCAUCCAUAGUUUUUCCUCAACCAUUGAUUCACUGCAUUUGCAUGUUUACUUUUGUUUUUGCAUUUAAAAACUUAAUAUCAAUUUCUUCUCAAGUCUUACGCAAUUAGCUUACACGAAAGUUAAGGCCUAAGAGUCCUUUGGGAAACGAUACUUGGACUUACCCAUUUUAUAUUACUUGAUAACAAUCCGGUACACUUGCCAGGGACUUAACAUUCC